AUGUUCUUUGAACUGUCUCAAAGCCAAACACAUGAACUCACAGGUUCUUCAGGAGAUUACAGCCUGACUCAGACUCCUAAAGCUGCAGCUGUGGACAAAGGAGCCUCUGUUACUCUCAGGUGUCAGAUCAGUUUAAAUGUAGAGAAUUAUCUCGCCUGGUAUCUUCAGAAAGGUUCAGAACCUCCAAAGCUCCUCAUAUAUUAUGCUACAACUCGUCACUCUGGAGUCUCCAGUCGUUUCAGUGGAAGUGGUUCAGGAUCUGAUUUCUCUCUGACCAUCAGUGGAUUUGAGGCUGAAGAUGCAGGAGUUUAUUACUGUCAGCAGGGUUACAGCUUCCCGUUCACACAGUGA